UACGGGGGGUGCGAGCGUUGUCCGGAAUCAUUGGGCGUAAAGAGCGUGUAGGCGGCCCGGUAAGUCCGCUGUGAAAGUCGGGGGCUCAACCCUCGAAUGCCGGUGGAUACUGUCGGGCUAGAGUGCGGAAGAGGCGAGUGGAAUUCCUGGUGUAGCGGUGAAAUGCGCAGAUAUCAGGAGGAACACCAAUUGCGAAGGCAGCUCGCUGGGACGUAACUGACGCUGAGACGCGAAAGCGUGGGGAGCAAACAGG
rnacentral:rRNA from 1 species